GACGAACGCUGGCGGCGUGCUUAACACAUGCAAGUCGAACGGAAAGGCCCUGCUUUUGUGGGGUGCUCGAGUGGCGAACGGGUGAGUAACACGUGAGUAACCUGCCCUUGACUUUGGGAUAACUUCAGGAAACUGGGGCUAAUACCGGAUAGGAGCUCCUGCUGCAUGGUGGGGGUUGGAAAGAUUCGGCGGUUGGGGAUGGACUCGCGGCUUAUCAGCUUGUUGGUGGGGUAGUGGCUUACCAAGGCUUUGACGGGUAGCCGGCCUGAGAGGGUGACCGGCCACAUUGGGACUGAGAUACGGCCCAGGCUCCUACGGGAGGCAGCAGUGGGGAAUAUUGCACAAUGGGCGGAAGCCUAAUGCAGCGACGCCGCGUGCGGGAUGACGGCCUUCGGGUUGUAAACCGAUUUCGCCUGUGACGUGGCGUGAGUGACGGUAAUGGGUAAAGAAGCACCGGCUAACUACGUG
rnacentral:rRNA from 1 species